UUUUAGAGGGGAAUAACUAGGAGAAAUCCUAGCUAAUACCGCGUAAGACCACACUUAGGCAUCUAGGAGAGGUCAAAGGAGUAAUCCGCUAAAAGAUGAGCCUGUGGCUGAUUAGUUAGUUGGUGGGGUAAGAGCCUACCAAGACGAUGAUCAGUAGCCGAGCUGAGAGGCUGGCCGGCCACAUUGGGACUGAGAUACGGCCCAGACUCCUACGGGAGGCAGCAGUUGGGAAUAUUGGACAAUGGAGGAAACUCUGAUCCAGUGACGCCGCGUGAAGGAAGAAGGUCUUCGGAUUGUAAACUUAUUUCAUCAGGGAAGAAGAAAGUGACAGUACCUGAAGAAAAAGGACCGGCAAACUACGUGCCAGCAGCCGCGGUAAUACGUAGGGUCCAAGCGUUAUCCGGAUUUACUGGGUGUAAAGGGCGAGUAGACGGCGCUGUAAGUCAGCUGUGAAAACUUAGGGCUCAACCUUAAGCCUGCAGCUGAAACUGUAGUGCUAGAGUGCAGGAGAGGUAAGCGGAAUUCCUAGUGUAGCGGUGAAAUGCGUAGAUAUUAGGAGGAACACCAGUGGCGAAGGCGGCUUACUGGACUGUAACUGACGUUGAGGCGCGAAAGUGUGGGGAGCAAACAGGAUUAGAUACCCUGGUAGUCCACACCGUAAACGAUGGAUACUAGGUGUAGGCGAGAUAUCGUCUGUGCCGGCGCAAACGCAAUAAGUAUCCCACCUGGGGAGUACGGCCGCAAGGUUGCAACU
rnacentral:rRNA from 1 species